ensembl:lncRNA CSMD2-AS1 CSMD2 antisense RNA 1
AUCAUGUGACCACUUGUCACACUUCCAUCAAACAGUACCUGCCCCUUAGGUGUGCUAGGGAAUAAAUGAAAUGCCUGGGACAUCAUCGUUAAGUGGCAUCUGAUGCAUAAGCAGUGCCCUAGGAAUGGGGUUGCCUGCCUUGGUCUCUAAAGGAUGGGUUCAAAAGGCAAGAGCAGCACACAAGAAGAUAGCUUCAAGCAGGAGAUAAAGCUUGGCCCAGGGCCCAAAGGGGAUACGACCCUUCAGCAAACUGACAUGCUGAAAGCUGCCCUAUGGAGAGGCUCAUGUGGCAAGGAACAGAGGGUGGCUUCUGGCCAACACCCAGUGAGGAACUCAGGCCCUCAGUCAAACAGCCUGCAAGGAACUGAACCCUGCCAAUAACCCUUCAGUAGACGAUGAGGCCAGCACCACAUGGGCUAGAUGUACAUGAGAUGUGAGCAACCACACUUCCCCUCUGACGGGGACAGACAGCAUCACAGGCUGAGCUCUGAAACUUCUCCUGGCAGUUCAAGAGAGCGAUGGAGGGAAUGCUGGGGCACAUCUAAAUAAAGCCUCCAAGUGGGAGUUCCUGCUCAGCUAUGCAUGAGCUCUUUGUGACUUCAUCUCCCAGCCUACAACUUGUGAAAUAAGCACGACUUCACUCAGAGCACAGCCAGAAACAUACAAACUUUCCAAAAA